GGUUGUGGCUCAGCGGUAGAGUGCUUGCCUCGCACUGUGAGACCCUGGGUUCGAUCCUCAACACCA
rnacentral:tRNA from 1 species